GACGCAGCCAUGCCGCGUGAAUGAUGAAGGUCUUAGGAUUGUAAAAUUCUUUCACCGGGGACGAUAAUGACGGUACCCGGAGAAGAAGCCCCGGCUAACUUCGUGCCAGCAGCCGCGGUAAUACGAAGGGGGCUAGCGUUGCUCGGAAUUACUGGGCGUAAAGGGAGCGUAGGCGGACAUUUAAGUCAGGGGUGAAAUCCCGGGGCUCAACCUCGGAAUUGCCUUUGAUACUGGGUGUCUUGAGUAUGAGAGAGGUGUGUGGAACUCCGAGUGUAGAGGUGAAAUUCGUAGAUAUUCGGAAGAACACCAGUGGCGAAGGCGACACACUGGCUCAUUACUGACGCUGAGGCUCGAAAGCGUGGGGAGCAAACAGGAUUAGAUACCCUGGUAGUCCACGCCGUAAACGAUGAUUGCUAGUUGUCGGGAUGCAUGCAUUUCGGUGACGCAGCUAACGCAUUAAGCAAUCCGCCUUGG
rnacentral:rRNA from 1 species